GGGGAAUAUUGGACAAUGGGCGCAAGCCUGAUCCAGCCAUGCCGCGUGAGUGAUGAAGGCCCUAGGGUUGUAAAGCUCUUUCACCGAUGAAGAUAAUGACGGUAGUCGGAGAAGAAGCCCCGGCUAACUUCGUGCCAGCAGCCGCGGUAAUACGAAGGGGGCUAGCGUUAUUCGGAAUUACUGGGCGUAAAGCGCACGUAGGCGGAUCGGUCAGUUAGGGGUGAAAUCCCAGGGCUCAACCCUGGAACUGCCUCUAAUACUGCUGGUCUAGAGUUCGAGAGAGGUGAGUGGAAUUCCGAGUGUAGAGGUGAAAUUCGUAGAUAUUCGGAGGAACACCAGUGGCGAAGGCGGCUCACUGGCUCGAUACUGACGCUGAGGUGUGAAAGCGUGGGGAGCAAAC
rnacentral:rRNA from 1 species